UUAAAGAUCCAUUAAGCUCAAUUAAUCACAAUUAAUCAACCAGAUUUUCACUUAAUUCUCCACUAAUCACAAUUAUAUUCUGUUAAUCAAAACAAAAGUAAAAUGGGGAAUUAGGUUUACGUGAGUUAUGUGUGAUUCAUGGAGUUCACUCAGAGGAAACUUCUUCUCCAUCCUUCAAACAACUCGCGGCGGCCGGUGGCCAUCCUUCCCCCGGUAAAAGCUUCUCCGAUCAAAACCUCCGCCUUGCACUACAUCUCCUUCCUCCUCUCGAUCCUUCCGAUUCAUAUCUUGUAAAUCUCCAAUCGCAAGCUUCCGUCUCAAUCUAACGGAGAAGUCCAGUAUCUCUUUGACGGCGUGAUAACGAUGAAGAGAGAUCUGAGAGGUGCUUCACGCGCUCAGGUGACGAAGAUUGAAGAUUCAGACGCAGCUCUUGAAGAUCUUCUGCCGAUUGACGUCGAAGAAUAGAUGGACGUGAUGUUGUAGCGAUGUUGAACGUGAGAAGGGAGAGUUAUCAGUUCGGUUACGAACUCUCUUCUUCUGUCAAUUUUGCAAGUGGUGAUGAAUAGAUGAUUGGUUUUCUGGUUUUGGUUCUGUGAUUGAAGGUUGAUUUUGUGAUUGUGAUUGGUCAAGGAUCAUUGAGAAAGAUCGAAAGAUUGGAGGUGAUGAUCAGAAUCGGUGGAGAGAGUUUCCGAGGGUGAAUUUCGAUUAGAGAUUGAUGAAGGUUUUCAGAGAGAAUGGAAGAGGAGUUUGUUACGGAUUUUCUUUUCUGAUUCUUUUCUGUUACGUUUUUUGUUCUCAAUUCUGUUAUUGAUUUUCUCCGAUACAUCGAUUCUCUCCUCUGUGAAUUCUGUUCUCCUUUUUCUUGAUUCCCGUCGUUUUCUUUCGUUUAUGCAGGGAACUUGAUAUAAAUUCAGGUGGAGUGAAUCGGCGAAUGCCAUUAGUGAACCGGGGUCUCCUAUAUUUGAAGUGAAGAGCCGUAUUGCUUUUGUUGACUUGAAGAUUGGGACUCUGUGUAUUUUUGUGUACUUAUUAUAAUGGACUUGAUAAACUUGGAGUUUGAUGAAUGAUGAAGGGAUUUGAAAUGAGUAUAUGGAUAAUGUAUGGACUUUGGCUCAUGGACUGAAUUUAUUUUGUAAUGGAUAUGUAUUGAAUAUUUGCUUUGUAAUGGAUAUGUAUUGAAUAUUUGCAAUGACUUUUGAAUUUUAUUAUAAUAGCUUGGAAACUUAAAUGA